rnacentral:rRNA from 1 species
GAUGAACGCUGGCGGCGUGCCUAAUACAUGCAAGUCGAGCGAACGGACGAGAAGCUUGCUUCUCUGAUGUUGGCGGCGGACGGGUGAGUAACACGUGGAUAACCUACCUAUAAGACUGGGAUAACUUCGGGAAACCGUAGCUAAUACCGGAUAAUAUUUUGAACCGCAUGGUUCAAAAGUGAAAGACGGUCUUGCUGUCACUUAUAGAUGGAUCCGCGCUGCAUUAGCUAGUUGGUAAGGUAACGGCUUACCAAGGCAACGAUGCAUAGCCGACCUGAGAGGGUGAUCGGCCACACUGGAACUGAGACACGGUCCAGACUCCUACGGGAGGCAGCAGUAGGGAAUCUUCCGCAAUGGGCGAAAGCCUGGCGGAGCAACGCCGCGUGAGUGAUGAAGGUCUUCGGAUCGUAAAACUCUGUUAUUAGGGAAGAACAUAUGUGUAAGUAACUGUGCACAUCUUGACGGUACCUAAUCAGAAAGCCACGGCUAACUACGUG